GAUGAACGCUAGCGACAGGCUUAACACAUGCAAGUCGAGGGCAGCAUAAAAGUAGCAAUACGUUUGGUGGCGACCGGCGCACGGGUGAGUAACGCGUAUGCAACCUACCUAUCAGGAGGGGAAUAACCCGGCGAAAGUCGGACUAAUACCGCAUAAAACAGGGGCACCGCAUGGUGAUAUUUGUUAAAGAAAUUCGCUGAUAGAUGGGCAUGCGUUCCAUUAGGUAGUUGGUGAGGUAACGGCUCACCAAGCCGACGAUGGAUAGGGGAACUGAGAGGUUGGUCCCCCACACUGGUACCGAGACACGGACCAGACUCCUACGGGAGGCAGCAGUGAGGAAUAUUGGUCAAUGGGCGGGAGCCUGAACCAGCCAAGUCGCGUGAAGGAAGAAGGAUCUAUGGUUCGUAAACUUCUUUUGCAGGGGAAUAAAGUGCAGGACGUGUCCUGUUUUGUAUGUACCCUGAGAAUAAGGAUCGGCUAACUCCGUG
rnacentral:rRNA from 1 species